rnacentral:rRNA from 1 species
AUUGAACGCUGGCGGCAGGCCUAACACAUGCAAGUCGAGCGGAUGACGGGAGCUUGCUCCUUGAUUCAGCGGCGGACGGGUGAGUAAUACCUAGGAAUCUGCCUGAUAGUGGGGGACAACGUUUCGAAAGGAACGCUAAUACCGCAUACGUCCUACGGGAGAAAGCAGGGGACCUUCGGGCCUUGCGCUAUCAGAUGAGCCUAGGUCGGAUUAGCUAGUUGGUGAGGUAAUGGCUCACCAAGGCGACGAUCCGUAACUGGUCUGAGAGGAUGAUCAGUCACACUGGAACUGACACACGGUCCAGACUCCUAGGGGAGGCAGCAGUGGGGAAUAUUGGACAAUGGGCGAAAGCCUGAUCCAGCCAUGCCGCGUGUGUGAAGAAGGUCUUCGGAUUGUAAAGCACUUUAAGUUGGGAGGAAGGGCAGUAAGCUAAUACCUUGCUGUUUUGACGUUACCGACAGAAUAAGCACCGGCUAACUCUGUGCCAGCCGCCGCCGCGGUA